GGGUUUCUUUAUUUAUCGUCUCCACCUUAAUGUCUGGUUUUCCAAGUGUCACUCCACGACGACCUAAAAGACAGAAAGAAACAGGAUCAGUGCCAACAAAAAGAGCAACAGAAGAAUACAACAGCCGACAGUGCCAACAGCAAUGAUACCAACUGAACAUGAUAUCCACAUGGGUUCCUUCCUCUCUGCAAGACAUUCGAGAAACCAUGAAACUUCAGCCUGAACUUAAAGCAUCAACAAUGAGAGCUUUUAUUCUAACCCUGUGUUGUGUAUCUUUAAUUGGCUCGAAAUCAAGAAUGUAGUCAGUGAAGUGCUCAGAUUUUCCUCUUCCAUAUUUUUCCCUCAGUGUUCAAGCCGUUCUUAACAUCUCAUCUAUCCUGACUCCCCAUUAUUUCUUUAUUCUUUCUUUCUUUUCUUUUAAUAACAAUUAUUUACUAUUGUCUCUGCAUAUACAUGGCUUUAAAAAUAUAUCUAACACUUAAUAAAUAUUGUUCUGUUCUUUA